AUGCUACAACGUGAAGCCAAAUGGAUUUCUAAAUUGAAUUCACUAGCCCCAGUUGGGCUUAAUGAUGCCUGGAGUUUGAAAUGCUUUUUAUAAGAAUUGUAAUAUUUACUCUUAUUUAUUUCAGAUAUUAAGUGAUGCCUAUCCUCUCAGCUGGGGGUAAGAGUGUAUCUGAAGAUAUGGAACCUUGGCACUUGGACACUACAUGUACACUGGAGAUCACUGGGACUUUUAAACGUUUUAUACGUUCUAUGUUUUCUACCUAUUUUACACUUUUACUCUGGACUAAUGAGUUAAUUGGUGGGAGGAGGAGCACUGUUUGGCAAUUAAGGCUAUAAGAUGUGGUUUGAUCAUGUGAUUGUUACACUUGAGAAAGGGUCCAUGUGACUCGAAACAUGUCGUGUGUACAAUAAAGCACUAACGCAGCAGA